rnacentral:misc_RNA from 1 species
GAUGAAGAACGUAGCGAAAUGCGAUAAGUAAUGUGAAUUGCAGAAUUCAGUGAAUCAUCGAAUCUUUGAACGCACAUUGCGCCCUCUGGUAUUCCGGGGGGCAUGCCUGUUCGAGCGUCAUUAUAACCACUCAAGCUCUCGCUUGGUAUUGGAGUUCGCGAUCUCGCGGCUCCUAAAAUCAGUGGCGGUGCCUGUCGGCUCUACGCGUAGUAAUACUCCUCGCGAUUGAGUCCGGUAGGUUUACUUGCCAGCAACCACCAAUUUUUACAGGUUGACCUCGGAUCAGGUAGGGAUACCCGCUGAACUUAAGCAUAUCAAUAAGCGGAGGA